AGUCCCAUGACCUAUGAGGCACCACCCCUCAUCUCAAGAUUAGAUGUUCAUACUAGCAUUCCCAAGGGCUGAAAGCUUCGAGCAAAGCAACCAGAAGUGGCAUUCAAUGUGCCUUAUAAAUGGUGGUUCCUGGAGUGCCUGCCUAGGUUUCUUGGCUAUUAGUUGUGUCCCAAGGGAGCUGUAACGGCUGCAGAAUCAUGGCGUUCUGCCUGAUGAACAGUUUGGUCUAUCUCUAUGACUUGCAUGCAUCAGACAUCUACACAAAAGGUGCUCAGAGACAUUCAGCAUGCUGAGGAAUGAGUGAUCCUGGCAAUCAUGCCAGAAGCCUCUGGGCAUAUAAGCCGUCAGAUCCUUUUGAGAACUCCUCCCUCCAUCGUCCGUCCUUCGCUGGCUCUCGCUCAAGAGGCUAACAGGCAGUAAUGGAAUGCUGGGCAGCCAUGAGAGGAGAGAUUCCACCGCCCUGCAUAUUGCUGACCACGGAUGCCAGCUCAGCACAUCUUGAUAACUCAUAACCCCUUGCCAUAGGUUUUUAUAGAGUGCCUGGUCUAUUGUAAAUCACUAACUCUCUGUCAUCGACCCAGCUCCAUCCCUGAUUCAUAGCAUCAGGAAUUAAACUACUGUCACACUG